GGGGCUUGGCGGUGGAUACGGCUACGGAGGUGGAUACGGAGGCGGCUAUGGUGGAUACGGUAAAGGUGUUGUCAGCGUCGUCCCUGUCGCCGUUGGAGUUGGUGGAUACGGUGGAUACGGAUUCGGUGGCUAUGGAUAUGGUAAAGGCUAUUAUUAAACCGGCCAAGUCAAGCAUCUAAGUCAAGUGUCUAAGUCAAGUCAAGUCUCAAAGUCAAGUCUUUGAGUCAAGUCAGGCGUCGGAGAACAUUAAAAAUGAAUGUCUAUAUCAUGUCCAUCAUCACAGUUGAAUAAAUCCAUUUUUU
rnacentral:sRNA from 1 species